rnacentral:lncRNA from 1 species
GCUAUUCAAUAUUUCAAAAUUUUAAUAUUAUUGUUAUUUUUUUAAUUUAUUUGAUUUGAAUCGGUGGACGCAAUUUUUACUUUAAAUUUAAGGUAAUUACUUAAUUUAAAUAAAUUUAUAAUUAUGAGAAUUGUAUAAACUAUAUCAACUGAAUAUAUAAAAAACAAACAAAUUGUAUUUAAAAUUUAAAAUUAAAAUAUUAUCGACUGACUCAAAUUAAAUAAAUUUAAAAAUUAGAUAAAAAAUUUUAUAAAAUAAAUAUCUAUUUAUAUUCGAAUGAUCUAUAGUUCAGAUAAAUUUCGUACGCAUCUUUCUAAAAGUU